rnacentral:rRNA from 1 species
UACGUAGGGGGCGAGCGUUGUCCGGAAUUAUUGGGCGUAAAGAGCUCGUAGGCGGUGUGUCGCGUCGGCCGUGAAAACCUGUGGCUUAACUGCGGGCUUGCGGUCGAUACGGGCAUCACUGGAGUUCGGCAGGGGAGACUGGAAUUCCUGGUGUAGCGGUGAAAUGCGCAGAUAUCAGGAGGAACACCGGUGGCGAAGGCGGGUCUCUGGGCCGAUACUGACGCUGAGGAGCGAAAGCGUGGGGAGCGAACAGG